CAUGCAUGCUCAUGUAUGAGUUUACUCACCCUUUAGUAAAACUUUACAGAGAAUAAAGUACCGUUUUCAACUUCCUUGACUUGAGUUUUUGCACUUAAAAUAUAAAAGGCCUAGAUCAAUAAAGAGUUAGAGUAGGUACCGGCAGCCCUAGCCGAUAAGCCUGGAAUGCUGCAAAAUCAGCAAUUAUCACCUGUUUUCAUAGGCCCAAAAUAUGUUUUUAAAAUCAUCCAUAAAUUAAAACAAAAAUAACAGGCGAAAGUCUGUCCUUUGCUCUUUAACGUGGUGCAUUUAAAAAAAUAAACUGUGUUUAAUACAACUGUUUAAAUGUGUAUUUUGCGAACCCUAAUUAGCGGCAAAUUAUCGCUAUUGUCUUUGGUUGCAUCAUUUUUCGCGGCGUGUUCUGCACAUUUGCGUUGGAAAAUCCCCUUGCUUAGCGAUACGUCAUAAAACAAUUCAUUUAUAAAGUUUGAAACGCUAUCCUCAAUAAACUGAGCUAAAAAAGUAUACAGUGCCGGACAUUUUCAAAGAGGGAAUUCAUUUGUGAAUUCAAUGGUACUAUUACUAUCAUCAUGUGCGUUGCCUGAAACAUUCUGCAGACUCGUUAUUCACCAUUGACCUUUUUGACCAGGAGGCCAAAGGUUAACAAAAUGGCAGAUUCCAUGCCGGACCACGUGGAGUGUUCUCAGAUGGCGAUCAAUCGUUAUUUACGUAAGUAGAGCCAAUAUUUAUUUCAAGUUCUGUUAGUGGAGAUAUUAAUAUUAAUAUUUAUUGUUAUAUUUUUGUUGGUUUUGUCAUUUUAAUAUUUGUAAAAUGCGUUUUUCUUCGACAAAAUCAGUGGCCGAUCCAAGAAUUUAGCAUUAAUAACAAUAUGUUUUAUUGUGACGAUUUCUAUUAAAAAAUUAAGUCAUUAGUUGUUUUAUGGUAUUAUAUAUUAAUGCUAUGUUUAUUUUCUUUGUAUAUAAGUCAUCCAUUGCAACGUUAUUUCAUAUUUAGAACAUUGUAUUGGUUAUUUUUUUUUACCGGAAGUUGAGUGCUCUGACGCGUUUUACCCUACUAAACACAUGUUUUUACUGAUAGUCGCCUCAGACUGCUAAUUUAAUCGAUAUAAAUAUAUUUAAAUGAUUAAUUAAAUGUAUUAAUUAUGUUCUUGUAACAUUUAUAUAAUUAUAUGAAUAUAUAUAUAUAUGUAGUAAUUAUGGUUUUACUUUUUGAUAUUUUAGUUUUAAUAUUUAUAAUUAUAAUAAAUCAUAUUAUUAUUAAAUAGGAAGGGCAAGGCAUUGCAUACACUGACAGUUGUAAUUGUGCCUUAUUGGAGAUGGGGGUUGAUUGCUUAUGGGGCACUAGCCCCCCUCACCGGGCAGGUUGCCCAGGGCCGGGACUGCUAUGCUCAAAUGUCUUUGUUUUUAAGUUAAUAUUUUUGUGUCCGCAAACUGCAAAAGAUUGUAUACAUUAACUUUAGUGAUUAACAGUUAUCUUUGUGCCUCGGAGGAUUUUGUGUGUGUGUAUGGGGGGUCAAUGCUUAUGGGGCAUUAGCCCCCCUCUACGGACAGGUUGCCCGGGUCCGGAACCAUUAUGCCCAAAUUUUUAUUUCUUUUAUAUACUAGGUACUUUAAUAAUUUUACCGGCAUGCACAACCUAAUUGCUAAUAAUACACUUGUUUAAUUGCUAUAAAUGUAUUUCAAACUACAUGUAAUAUGUACCGGGUAUAUAAUUGAAUUAAUAUUUAUUUUGGCUAUGACAAAUUAAUUAUUAUUAAUAUGAGAAAAUUGAGGCAUUGUACAUAUUAAUGGUGCCUUAAUUUAUGCCUCAUGGGUUUAAUGCAUAAAGGGAACUAAUCUCCUUAAUGGACAUGUUAUUCAAGUCCAGGAGAAUUAUGUUUCUUAUUUUUGUACAAAUUAACAAGUUUAAUGAACUUAUCACCAAUAAGUGUAACAUAAAUUCAUCUUGCUAUUAAUGUUUCUGCCUGUUUGUCUUUCUGACAAGGAGCAUUUUUCCAACAGUAAACUAUGGUAACAGUGACUGCAAUAUCCUUACAUUUCUUUUUUCUUUAUUCAGGGAAUGAUCAGUUUUAUCAGCUGGAUCGGGUAUUCAGGGCCUCUGGCCGGGGACGUCGUCUGGACUUACCUGUCGUUACUAUUGACAACCGACUUCUGCUUCAAUUUGACUUAUUAAGAAAUGAAGGAGGAAACGGCUGGGAAGAAUUAUAGAUUUUUAUGAGAAAGUUUCUGCCAGUGUUUUAUUCACAAACUAAAUAUAAAGGACUUGUCACUGCAGCUGUUAAAACAUUUCACACUAAAUUAAUAGAAGAGAAUGAGGUGUUGAUUUAAAAAAAAUUGGACAGAAGACUUGAUCUGCAUAUCAUUGGACAUGAAGCAGGUAUUGGACGUCCUGAACUUGCAGAUGAUACACUGGAACUAUUCCGAGAAAGAGCUACAAAACUGAAAGAGGCAGGAAAGAAAAUUGGCUUAGUAAUAGAAUUGGAGUCGUUUAGGCGAAAUGAAAGUAUAUCGUACGUUAAGAUGUUGGGAGUGGAUGUACAUACUUCAUGAGUUUCCUAUAUCUGCAGAUAAACUGAGAAAUUUUUUAAAACAACAUGCGAUGAUAUGAAGAAAAAACAACGUUGUAAGGGAAAAGGUGAUGGAAAGCUAGCUUUUGAAACAUUUGUGUCUGCUAGUUUUGUGAGUGAUCCACUACUGGAUGAUAUGUCAUCUGACAACACUUCUGAAUCUUGUACUGACACAGCUGAGAUUACUUCACAUACUACAAAUGUUUCUGUCUGUACCAUUGAUAUUGCCAACAAAGAGGUCGAGAUUCAGCACUUAAACAGAAAAGUAGAGGAAAGCCAAACUGCAGUGACUGAGCUGAAAGCAGAGGUGUCAGUGUUGAAAUCUAUUAUCAAAGAUCAUGUGACAACAAUAAAGUCAUUGCACUGCCAGUUGUCAGAAAAAAACAAUGAUAUAAAAAUACUAGAAGAAAUAAUUGGUCGUGACAAUGAUGAAAUUAAGAGGUUAAAAGAAACAGCAGAAACUGGCAAUUCUGUCAGACAGAGUGCCUAUUAUCAAAGACUGAAGAGGCAAGAACAAAAACUCACGAAAAUGCAAGAUGUUAUUACCCAACAUACUGAUGGUGGCUGUGAGAAGAAAAUAUUGGAGUUGAAGUUGCAGAUUAAAUCUCUCCAGACACAUUUCUCCAACUGUAAAAAGUCCAUUCUAUAAAAACAAAAAAAUGUGUGUAAAUUUAAAGGGUCAGCUCGACCAAGGCAUCUCUUCAGAGAACAGUUCAUUAAAUCUCCAGACUAGAGUUGAUGGCUGUGUAAUGGAACUGAUUGGUGAAGCAGAAGUCCCUAACAGUAAAUGUGGACGUGUCAUGAAGAUUGUUGUCAGGCAGUUGUUUCAACUGGAUAUUCCUUUAACCGAAUUUCCUUCUGAAAGGACGGCAAUAUGAAUGUCUGAUACAGCACAUGCUCUUGCGAAAAGUCAUUUGGGGGAAGUUUGAGUGAAUUCAAAAGGUUAUGAUCUUCAUUCUGAUGGUACUGACAAAGACAAGAACAAGAUCAUGGGACAUCAGGUGACAACAAAAGAGACGGGCACACUCAGCCUAGAAUUUGUCGGUGUCCAUACAGAAAAUACAGACACAUUACUAGAUGUUGCCAUUAUCCUGUUAAGAGAACUGGCCUAUGUAUAUGAUGAUGAUGAUGUAGAAGACAGAUAUGUCACUAUGCUAUCCAACAUGACUGGUUUGAUUAGUGAUCGUGCAAGUGUGAUGAAGGCAUUUAAUUGUGAAUUAAAUGAAAAACGGCAACAGGUCUUGGGUAAAUCUGACAAUUUGGAAUUUCUGCACUGCAAAUCUGAACAACUGCAACUUUUGGAGAAUUCUUCAAAGAAGGCACCAGUCUUGCGGGAGAAACACAAGCAGAUGCAACUAGAUGUUGUUCACAAAAGAAAAGCAGUUUUGGAAGAAAAUAAACUUAAAAUGGAAAAGCGAGAACAUGAUGCACUGCGCAAAAAACACGAGGCAGUUAGUGCUGUUAAAAAACAUGAUGGACCGUGUCUGACAUUUCUUGAUGUAGAUGCACUGAUGGAUACAAUCCCAGUUAGAGGACGGAGAAAACACAUGAUUGAAACCAUCAAGGCAGAGAUUCGUUAUCAGCAGGUGUUCAUGGGCGUAAAGAGUCGACAGCUGAAACUUACGGGAGCUUGUGGCCAGUUUGAAAUGGUUCCUAGAUGACACACAAAACAUUUCGGAUGAAGAACAUCCCUGUGAAAACCUUGUCCAACAGAAAAGUAACCAAGACAAUCCACAAGAAACCAGUGACUGUGACGAUGAAGCAAUCUCGAAUCAUGACCAUGAUGAGGAUGAUGAACUCCUAGCUGCACUUAAUAAUAACACUGGGUCCACUGCUGAACCGAAUGAUGCUGAAGAAAUGGGGCGAUUUCAGUUUUCCAACCAGGGAAUGAGAGUUGCUGUCUAUUAUGAUGAUGACUUUCAUGUUGGAGAAGUUACCAGAGUUAAUUCGGAAUCCAGUGCUCUUGUUCAGUUUAUGCAAAAGUGUGGUGUGAAAAAAGGUGUUUAUAGAUGGCCAACAGUAGAUGAUGAGGAUGUCAUUUCUGCAGAGUAUGUUAUACACUCAGGCUUCAACAUGUGUACAACUAAUGGCAGAGUGUGGUCUGUAGAAGAUUGUUUGUUGGAGAAAAUGUACAAUCAAUACAAGAGAUUAUUCUGUGUAUAGGAUUGAAUUUGUGCACUAAUUUGGACAUGCUACAUUACCAUCGCAAUAUAUUUAAUGGCCUUGACUUUGAAGCUAAAAAAAUAAUAACAGUUUUGAUUUUGAAUCAUGCAGAUAUACAAGAGUUGUCUGUUUAAUUAUUUCUAAGUAAUACAUGACUUUUGUUUCAUCACCUAUGAACAAUAUUUCGAAUCUGAAUGAUCAUAACUUUUUAUGUGAUAGAGAAAAUCUGCUAAAAAUUGUAUUUUUAAAAGUGUGUAUACUUUAUACUUACUAAUAGUUGUUUAAAUGGGUUCAGCUACACUUGCUUUAUCACCAUUCCAAAUUUGUGAUAGCUUGAAUACUUUUCAAAAUAUAGGCUUCUAAAGUUGGCAAAAUUAUGUCGUUUUUCGUAUGAUUUUUACGUCCGUCAGUUUGAAGAUUGUUUAUAAUUUUAGAGAUUGUAAUUUUUAAAUUUAUAUUCAGACACAUUUGGAAAAAAAUAGUAAUUAUUUUAUACUGUUAAAUAUGUACUUUUUGUCAGUCUGCAGUAUAAAUUCAGUGUAACAAGAGCAACAUUCUUUUGAAAUUGUGUAAUCACUGGUGUGCAUACAGUAAAACAGUAUCAAGAGAAUAAAUAUUAUAACUUUGGUUAUAUUAAUUAAUUGGGCCUAAAAAGCUUAUCUUGUUAUAAAGAUAUCUUCAAAAUUAUUUUUGUAAUAGGCUUGUUUUAUCAAUAUAUUUCAUAAUAAAGUGUAAUACAAAAAUACACUUUAAACAUUUUUGGUUGCUGGUACCUAGUUAGAGUUAGAGUUGCAUCUUUGAAAGCUCAUCUCGGUGAUGUUUAAAAAAAAAAAAUUUUAUUUCGUAAUUUUAAAGUUUAAUAUAAUAUUAUAAGUUAUUUCUUUAUUCAUCAAAUCAGUUUACAAUACUUAAGAUGUUUAAUUCUGUGAAAUUCUUGUCGAGCCCAUGGCUUAAAUUAGGAUAAAAUAUCUGUUCUUCAGAAGAGUAAAAUUUGUGUUUACACUCCAAGUUUAAAUAUGAGAAUUCCCAGUACAAGUCUGGAGUCUU